UUUUCCUAGCCUUGCUUGGGUGGGUUACCGUUCAGGACCAAAUCUGCGUCGGCACCACCAUCCAGCCAUGCAGAUGGACAGAUGCAGACAACAAGUUCCAGACAGACUUGAGAGAGAAGAGAUGUCUUCAACCAGUUCCAUCGAGCUGCAGUUCUUCUCACC